CAGGGGGAAGAAGAUAAGAGUGUUUAUAGAACUGAAACUGAGGUAGGGUCAAAAAAUCAAAUAGUCAGAUAGAGAGAGGUCAAUGGAUUCAGAUCAAGGGAAGCUCUUCAUUGGUGGGAUUUCUUGGGAUACUUCAGAAGAUAAACUGAAGGACUAUUUUGGUAACUAUGGGGAGGUAUCGCAGACUGUGAUAAUGCGUGAUAAGAUUACUGGGAGGCCGAGAGGGUUUGGUUUUGUUGUGUUUUCAGAUCCCUCAAUCCUCGAUAGGGUUCUUCAGGAAAAGCACACCAUUGAUGGGAGAACGGUUGAAGCUAAAAGAGCUUUGUCAAGAGAGGAACAACACACUUCCUCUAGGUCUGGAAACCCUAAUGCAGGCAGAAAUCUUGGAAGUGGUGGUGGUGGGGGCAAUGUUAGGACCAAGAAAAUAUUUGUUGGAGGGUUGCCUCCUACUCUAUCAGAAGAUGGAUUCCGCCAGUAUUUUGAGACAUAUGGCCAUGUAACUGAUGUAGUAGUUAUGUAUGAUCAGACUACCCAACGUCCUCGUGGAUUUGGUUUCAUCUCCUUCGAUUCGGAGGAAGCCGUUGAUAGAGUCUUGCACAAGACUUUCCAUGAAUUGAAUGGUAAACUAGUUGAAGUCAAGCGUGCUCUUCCAAAAGAUGCAAACCCUGGAGGUGGUGGCCGUGCAAUGGGUGGUGGGAAUUAUCAGGGAUAUGGUUCUUCUGGUGGUAACACAAGUACUUAUGAUGGUCGGGCGGAUGCCACUAGAUACAUGCAACCUCAAACAGCCGGAGGUGGUUACCCGGCAUAUGGUUCUUCAGGCUAUGGUGCACCUGGCUAUGGAUAUGGUGCAGCAAACAAUGGUGUUGGUUAUGGUGGUUAUGGUGUUGGUGGCUAUGGUGGUGCUAGUGCUGGGUAUGGUGGCCCUGCUGGGGCUUAUGGAAAUCCUAAUGCUCCGAGUGCUGGUUAUCUGAGUGGCCCACCUGGUGGCCCAAGAAGCCCAUGGAGUAAUCAAACACCUUCUGGAUAUGGUUCCACGGGCUAUGGUGCUAAUGCAGGUUAUGGAGCUGCUGCUCCAUGGAAUGUUACUGGUUCUGGUGGUGCUGCUGGUAGUGGGGGUUCUGUUUCUGCAUCUACAGGUCAGUCUCCAAGUGGAGCUGCCAGCUACGGUAAUCAAGGUUAUGGUUAUGGUGGUUAUGGUGGAGGAGAUGGAUCUUAUGCUAACCCAGGUGGAUAUGGUGCUGUUGGAGGACGUGCUGGUAGUACCCCAAGCAGCAAUGCUCCAGCUGGUGCUGGUGGGGGUGAACAAGGGACUGGUGCUGGCUAUAUGGGAAGUGGUUAUGGUGAUGCUAAUGGGAGUUCAGGGUAUCCAAAUGCUGUUUGGAGGUCUGAUGCCUCACAAGCAGGAGGCUAUGGAACUGCCCAAGCCAACCAAGCAAACGGAUCUUCAGGUGGGCAGGUUGGUUAUGGUGGUGGCUAUGGUGGUGCUCAGGCCAGACAGGCACAACAGCAGUAAUCCAGAUUACUUGUGUUUGUCUGAGUAUUGGCUUAGUUUUUCAAACAGAGCUUCUCUUCCUGUGGGACUGUGCUUCUCAUCUGACAUGAAGCGGUGGUACAUGUGGAUGGCAGCAGAUUUUGGGACUGGAGGAGAGGGAGAUGCCCGUCGUCUGAAUGGGAACCAGGUGUCUACCCUUGUGGGCGAUCUCAAAAGGUUUUUAAUGGGGGUUUGUGGCGUGGAAUGGCAUUUAAAGAGGACUCGUCCAAUUUGCCCAACACAAUAAAGCAAGGCAGGGAGGGCCCAGAUCAGGCCAACAACAUUGUCAUACUUCCAGGAGUCUUCAGAUACAUGUCAUGAAGAUCCUUGGAGAGCCUACAAAUCUGAUGGACCUGUGGUAUGUCUACUAAUCGGGCUAUGAUGGUUCCAUGUUUUACAAUUUGUCCUUACACUUUCCGUCUCUGAAGAUGCUCCUUACAGCAAACACCUCAAUAUCUUCUCUGAUUAAAAAAUUUUGAGGUGAUUUAUGUGGUGUGACCCUAUGAACUUUCAUUCCUUUGUUUCUUUCAUUUAGUGAAUUUAUAACUAGUUAGUUCGUUCUUAUGUGACUAUCACUCCUUUUUGUCUUUCUUAUAGUGAAUUUAAAUCAAGUUAGAUCUUUAUUUU